CCUACGGGUAGCUGCAGUGAGGAAUAUUGGUCAAUGGACGAGAGUCUGAACCAGCCAAAUAGCGUGAAGGAUGACUGCCCUAUGGGUUGUAAACUUCUUUUAUAUUGGAAUAAAAUGGUCCACGUGUGGGAUUUUGUAUGUACCAUAUGAAUAAGGAUCGGCUAACGCCGUGCCAGCAGCAGCGGUAAUACGGAGGCUCCGAGCUUUAUCCGGAUUUAUUGGGUUUAAAGGGAGCGUAGAUGGGUUGUUAAGUCAGUUGUGAAAGUUUGCGGCUCAACCGUAAAAUUGCAAUUGAUACUGGCAGUCUUGAGUACAGUUGAGGUAUGCGGAAUUCGUGGUGUAGCGGUGAAAUGCUUAGAUAUCACGAAGAACUCCGAGUGCGAAGGCAGCUUACUAAACUGCCACUGACAUUGAUGCUCGAAAGUGUGGGUAUCAAACAGGAUUAGAUACCCUGGUAAUC
rnacentral:rRNA from 1 species